rnacentral:rRNA from 1 species
UACGUAGGGUGCGAGCGUUGUCCGGAUUUAUUGGGCGUAAAGAGCUCGUAGGCGGUUUGUCGCGUCGGCCGUGAAAUCUCCACGCUUAACGUGGAGCGUGCGGUCGGAUACGGGCAGACUUGAGUUCGGUAGGGGGAGACUGGAAUUCCUGGUGUAGCGGUGAAAUGCGCAGAGUAUCAGGAGGAACACCGAUGGCGAAGGCAGGUCUCUGGGCCACUACUGACGCUGAGAAGCGAAAGCAUGGGGAGCGAACAGG